UGGAGUGGGGGAUAACGUAGCGAAAGUUACGCUAAUACCGCAUACGAUCUACGGAUGAAAGUGGGGGAUCGCAAGACCUCAUGCUCGUGGAGCGGCCGAUAUCUGAUUAGCUAGUUGGUAGGGUAAAAGCCUACCAAGGCAUCGAUCAGUAGCUGGUCUGAGAGGACGACCAGCCACACUGGAACUGAGACACGGUCCAGACUCCUACGGGAGGCAGCAGUGGGGAAUUUUGGACAAUGGGCGAAAGCCUGAUCCAGCAAUGCCGCGUGAGUGAAGAAGGCCUUCGGGUUGUAAAGCUCUUUUGUCAGGGAAGAAACGGUGAGGGCUAAUAUCCCUUGCUAAUGACGGUACCUGAAGAAUAAGCACCGGCUAACUACGUGCCAGCAGCCGCGGUAAUACGUAGGGUGCAAGCGUUAAUCGGAAUUACUGGGCGUAAAGCGUGCGCAGGCGGUUUUGUAAGUCUGAUGUGAAAUCCCCGGGCUCAACCUUGGGAAUUGCAUUGGAGACUGCAAGGCUAGAAUCUGGCAGAGGGGGGUAGAAUUUCCACGUGUAGCAUUGAAAUGCGUAUAUAUGUGGAGGAACACCGAUGGCGAAGGCAGCCCCCUGGGUCAAGAUUGACGCUCAUGCACGAAAGCGUGGGGAGCAACAUG
rnacentral:rRNA from 1 species